AGCGAACGCUGGCGGCGUGCCUAACACAUGCAAGUCGAACGUGAACGGGGGCAACCCCUAGUAAAGUGGCGUACGGGUGAGUAACGCGUAGGCAAUCUACCCCAAAGUCUGGAAUAACCGGCCGAAAGGCUGGCUAAUACUGGAUAGAGCGACGGAAUCCGUAAUUGGGUUUUUCGGGAAAGGGAGGGAGCAAUCCCCCUUCGCUUUGGGUAGUGGGUCGUGCGUCCCACUCAGCUAGUUGGUAAGGUAACGGCUUACCAAGGCAAUGACGGGUAGCUGGUCUGAGAGGAUGAUCAGCCACACUGGAACUGAAACACGGUCCAGACUCCUACGGGA
rnacentral:rRNA from 1 species